rnacentral:rRNA from 1 species
UACAGGGGGGGCAAGCGUUGUUCGGAAUUACUGGGCGUAAAGGGUUCGUAGGUGGCCACUUAAGUCAGACGUGAAAUCCCUCAGCUUAACUGGGGAACUGCGUCUGAUACUGGGUGGCUUGAGUGCAGGAGAGGAAUGCGGAAUUCCAGGUGUAGCGGUGAAAUGCGUAGAUAUCAGGAGGAACACCCAUGGCGAAGGCAGCUUCCUGGCCCAAUUCUGACGCUGAGGUGCGAAAGCGUGGGUAGCGAACGGG